rnacentral:lncRNA from 1 species
UUAAUUAGAACAUCAAUUUCCACCUUUAAUUCUCUCAACACUACUAUGUCCUUUUUAUUGAUAGGAAAACUUAAGUUUUGUAGAAUCACAACUAAUUUCAGUUACAUAGCAAGUAAAUGCCAAAUUAUGAAUUUGAACUCAAACAGUCCUACUCCAGAGCCUCACUCUAGUGUUGUGUUAUCAUUCCAUCCUGAAUUCUGUGGUUUUUCUUUUGCUUAUGAUUUUCCCCUUGCCUGCUCCCAAUUAAGUGAAUGCCUAUAUGCUAACCCAUUUAGCACAUUUCUCUUACAGGGCCUAAUUAAUUAGACUGUAAAACAGUUGUCAAAAUCUGGGUUUCAUUCUUAAGUUGGCCUACCACUUAAUUUACUUUGUGACUUUGGACAAAUUGUUUUCCCAUCUUUAAGAUGAGGCCAAUAUAUACCUUACAGAAUUGUUUUAUGAUGAUAAAAUAUGGUAAUGUGUAAAAGUAUGUAGAGCCUGAAACAUGGCAAACACUUGUGAAUGCUGUAUCCCCUCUUGAGCUGAGAGUACUUUUCUUAGUGCUGCCAAUUAUGAGAGACUGGAGGAUCUUUGGUUAGUUAUUUUUAAAAUUUUUUAAUUUUUUUUGAGAUGUCUCUAAAAUUACAGAACCUGUUAUCCUCAUCUGAUCAGUGUUCUCCUUGCUUGAGUAGGUGUAUAAGGCCUACUUGGGGUAUCCUGGUUUUGUUUUAAGAACGGUUUUAAAGUGAGUAUUUUGUUAUUUCCUGGUGCAGUUGAUUGCUGGAUGAUUUCUCUUUCCACUGUUAUUCAGUGAGGUUGAAGUCAUAAAGGAAAUUUCAUGAUACCUAAAAUAACUUACUAUGGAGUAUCUCAUGCAGUGUG